rnacentral:lncRNA from 1 species
GUAAGUUGGAAUCAGAUAUGCAAGCUUGUACGGGUUCUCUUGAUUUUCAUUGUGUGGAUUUUGCUACUUUGAUAAUCACUUCUUUAGACGGAACAAAGUUUAGAUCCUCCUGAAUCAAAAAGCCCUUUUAAACACUAAUAAGUACCGUUAUUUUAUGAUAUUGAUUCUUUUGAAUAGUUGGUACUUAUUGUAUUUGAUUCGUU